rnacentral:rRNA from 1 species
UGUGAUGGGAGCUCGCGCUGAGAAAGAGACUCGGGCGAGGCGAGGUCGGUCGGGGUGUGUGGCUUCCUCCAAACGGAACAAAAAAAAAA